CAGGAAUAACCAACAGUCACCUCGCCAGCUCAGAGUCAACAGCAGACAGACAAGACUCACACACUGGAGAGAUCGAUCUUCAAGAGUCAUCUGGUGGCCCAGUAAUCCUGGAACUGAUGGAACUGGUACCAGCACCGUGGACAACACACCACCACACACACUGGAAAAGCAAAUCAAAACCACAAUGGAAUAACAUCUCACACCAGGCAGAAUGGCUAUUAUAAAAAAGAUAUGUGUUGAGGCCGGUUUGGCUCAGUGGAUAGAGC